AAAUACAGUCAGUUUAUCUAUUCCGGCUCCUGUCCGAUUCCGACAUAUUUCUAGAUUGAAUGGCUGGUACGGAGAGAGUAUGUUUAGAAACUUAAUUUUGUCUGUUGUUUCAUGUAAAGUAAUUAUUUCUUUGUCUACUGAAUGGAUGUUUAAAAAAUGUAUGAACUCUUGGUCUGCCAGCGCUUGGAUUUCCAAAACGAGGCUUCAGAUCGGUUGAAUUUCCGGCGCGUUUUUUCGGACGUCUGAAAAGUCGGUGGACAACAUUAAUCUGUUCAAUGACCGAGGUUACCAAAAGAUACAAUUGCCAUGGGAAAGCAGAAGACAAACAGAUCAUCAGUACAUUGUAGUCCAGCUGUAGAGGCAGCAAAAUCUGUAAAGCGGGUAAUUAAUUAUCUUAAUCAAUUAAAUAGUUAUGCGGUAAAAAAUAUUUCAAAGUAUAAUGUGCAUCUUAUAAUGGUACACAUAACAAUUUUGACUUAAAUACCAUUUUGAUUGCUGUGUGUAUCUUAGUUGUUAACUUCCUAAAGCCAUUUUCAAAUUCAUUGAAUACAGAGCACAGUUUCAUACUUAACUUAGCUAUAAAUUAAAAUGUAUGUUAUACUCACGCAGUACUGUAUAAAUAAACUAUGAUAUCAUAGGAAAUAUUUGCCUUUAAUAAAUGUAAACAUAUAAGGUUACAUACAGUAUGAACUGUAAUAAAAAUGAAUACAGUAUGGUACAUGUGGUAUUUUCUCACAUGAUCAGUUGAUCACAUUGUGCAACAAGGUGAACACAAAAGGAUUUAGUUUUUUUAAUUUUACCCCAUGUACAAAGUAUGGGGCUGAAUUGGAUUCACAUCGGUGGGUUCGUCCAGUGUCUGUAAACAAAAGUUGAAAAUCUUUGUGGCCAUUCAACAGAGUCAAAUGAUAUGUUAUACUAAUAUGCAAUACAGUACUCCACAAUUGCCUGUAGGUUUUUUUAAUGAUUCACUUCAAAAUAUACUUGUGGCCAUUUGAAUAUGCCUGUCAUUUAUGACAGGUUGUAUAAUGUGAUCACUUGUAGCUGGUGUGUGGGUGGGCUUCAGAGUUUGAUUUGCUAAAUAACUUAAGUACCCUUGCAUAAUGAACACCAAACUUUGUGUAUAGACAGCUGGUACUGUUGAGGACAAUGGUUUAUACGUAGAGCGUCGGACUCUAUACACGAAGGGCAUGGAUUCCAAUACUGUGAUAAAUGCGUCAACCUUUGGAUUAUUUCACAAUUCAAAUUUCAGCACGAGUACUGGUUAUGUAUCUAAGAAGCAGAAUUGAGAAGGAAUAGUCUUAAGCUGUAAGAACUUGUUUCCCAAAUGUUGUAAAAUUAUUAAGUUUAAACUAAAUUGUUGCUGUAAAUUGUAACAGGUAUGAAUGAGUUAACACAUAACCAAACAAUAAAGAUAUUUUAGAUGUUUGUUGCAGAUGACAUAGGACAUCACUAGGAUAAAAGUAAUAUUUACUCAUUUUAGCAAUUUCUCCUUUUAUCAUAAUGAUUUCUACCCUACCAAAUCAAUUUCUUCCUUCUCUAUCAAAGUUCCAUUUUUUUCUGCAACCUCAUUGAAUUUAGGACAUUCCAAAUGUAUUGUUUGGUAACAAGUUGACACCGAACUUCAUUUUUUCCCCCACAAAAUAUGUAAUAAUAUACUCAAUGAAUAUGCUAGUCCUUUAUGUCUUGUUUGUUAAUUAUAUAUUUUUAUAUAUUUUUAUUUUGUUAUUGAUUUUAAACCUUUCAAUGCUGCAUUUCAAGAUUUGGAAUUAAUGUGUCUAUGGACUGGAUUUAAGCACUUGCAUCCAAUUAGCUCAGCCUUCCAAAAUAGCCAAAAUGAUUUGAGACAGUUUGUAACAAAGAUUCAACUACACGAAUGUGUGUGUUAUCUUUGAAACACAUUGUUGAUAAGACACGCAAAAAAUAUCCAGCAUUGAAAGUGUUAUUUCAACAGGCAGUUGAUUUGCUAGAAAUAAAAUUGUAAAAUUA